CUGUCAUAAUCUUUGUAUUAGAGGUAAGCCCGGAGUGAGCUUACAUACUCGUUUCGAGCUCGGGAGGAAGAAUGGCUUCCGUUGCUUCUGGAAACCCUAGGCCGUGGCGGUUCACCUGGGAAGCCCUAGCCCACAUCCCGACCCUCCGCCUCUAUCUCUUCCGCGCGGGCUUCGAUCCCUCCGCCCGAUGCUCGACGCUCAGAGCCUCCCUCCGCUUCGACGAGUCCGUUCUCCUCGUCUCCUGGACCGACGAGGAGGAGGGGAAUCGAGAUGUUUCUCUCAGGGUUCCGGUUCCUAGGGUUUUGAUCGAUCCCGGAUGCCCCGUAGAUUGCACGGCCAAGAGCGACCAUAUUGCGAUCAAGCUGGUCUUGGUCCUUCCCGUGGACCAUCCGGUCGUGGCGAAUUGCCGUGGGGUUAUUGAUUCGGCGGGGGAGGAGGUGGGGGACCGGUCUCCGGAUCGGUUGCUUCCACUUUCUCUGGAUUCUGAUAUAGGGAAACUUUCUGCCGAAGGUGUACAUUUCUUUUGCAAAGCAUGCUUGACAAAGCUGACCAGGCAACCUCUCAGAUGCUUUGUGGAAAUGCCAUCAGUGAAUUGGCGAGAGGUCGCUGACAAUUGGUUUGGGGCAUGCUGUUGUUCUUUUGGAGGUAUAAGUGAGAAACUAGUGUCUCAAUACAUCAACUCUUAUAAUUGUGCAGAGGGAACCUGUCUAGUAGAUGCUGCUUCAGUUAUCAUCUGCAAGGAUGACCUUCAGGAUUAUACAUUUCAACAGUGCUCAGAGGAGAACUCAGAGUGGAAAAAAUCAGAUUUGAUGGAAAAUAGUGUAGCCGAUGCAUUGAAAGAAGGCACCUGUGGGAAUCUCUGUGAAGACAUUCCUCAUUGUGCUGCUCACAAGCCUGCUGUGGCACCUACAUCAUUUUCCAAGGAAACUACUUAUCUGGCUCAACCUAGCUUGGAUGAGACUCAUAGUGCCAGAGAUGUGGAUCUGUUGAAGCUUAACUUAAAGCAAUGCUCAGAUAUUCAUGGGAACCCUCUUCCAGCUUUUGUUGAGGGGACAUCCAAAGAUCAUUGCCAUUGUUGUGAAGAUAAAACAAAUUUUUUGUUGAAUUUUCAUCAUGGAAGAUCUGCACUUGGCGUGUCAAUAGCACCUACGAAAUCCCAGAUAGACAAUAGUCAUCUUGGAGGGGGUUUUAUGACUAGAACCUCCAACCUUUUGAAUGAUAUGGAGUGGAUUGAAUUCUCAUGCAGGAACUGCUUAUCUCCUCUUGGGUCUUAUCCUUAUUCUAAAAGCAAAAAUGUUCUCGCAGAUGGUGGAAUUCGACUAUUUAAGUGUUAUAUUUCUACUUGUGUUCCUGCUGGUGGACCUCAUGACAUAUUCAGGAAACACACGUUGCAAAGAGUCUUUGUGCAUCUGCUGCUUGAAAGUGCAGAAGAUGAACUUUCAUUCCGAACAGUUGUCAAGGAUAUGAGAACUAAAUAUCCAAUGCUGCAAUUGGUCCUUUUAAGUUCAAAGGCCUGGUGCUCUUCUAGCUGCUGUUCUGAAAAUGUUAAAAAGGGACCAUUUCAUGCAUCAGAUCUGCAACCUGUUGUCAAGGUGUUGUUUUCAGAAUGUAGUACUGCAUCAGAAGUCAGUUCAAGAUGAAAUUGCAAAUUAGCCUAUACCCUAGUUGCACCCAUCCAUUUGGGAGGAGUUUCUGGAUUAGGACCUUGAGAGGUGGUCUCCAAGUGUUCAUCGCAGGCAAAUUGAGGAUUGGUCAACCAGAAAUCAUGCUGAAGAAUUGUAUAUGAUGACGCAUCCAAUAGAAGAACUGACCAAGUACCUGAAUUCAGCUGUAGAUAAACUACCACCAUCUUGUUCCUCUUUGCAAGGAAUGUAUUUAUCAACGUUGGAGAGGUAGCAAAUAUUUGAGUUUGACAGAACUGUAAACUUCAAAACCAUUCACUUGCUGCCAUCUGAUGAUAUAAAUAGUUUACAAUAUGUUACUUGGCAAUUGAAAUCUUCCAUUCUUGCA